AUUAUUUCAAAUCUACAUCAGCCAUGGAUCGAAAACUUCUUAUCUGCCUUCUUCUUGUUGGUCUAGUCGCCGCUGUUCGUUCUUGCACCACUGAGAAUUACGACGUUAUGUUCUCUCGUUCUGACUCUUCUUCUAUCUCUACCCCAGAAGCCGAUGAGCUGUGCGACAUGUUCUCCGAAAUGGUCUCCGCCAGGAUGGCCGAUGACUACUAAACACAGCAGCAAAAUGUUGACGAUAAAAGCAAUGUAAUCAAUAAAAUCCAAAUUACAACGCAA